UAACGGCAGAGUGCACUGGACUGGGCUGAGCUGGGCGGUGGUGGGGAGGAGAAACACGGCGUGGGGCCGGCAACCGGCCGGAGUCCUAGGGGAGCGAAUGUGCCGCACUGGAGAGUGGGGAUAGCGAAGACGCUGACCUCCCCGAAGGGCCAAGCCGAUUCCUGGGCUACAUGGGGGCUCUGCCACGGGCCGACCCGGUGGGCGCGGACGGAGAAGGUGUGACUUCAUUAAGGGAGGAUUUCAAGUCCCACCACACACACCGAGAGGCUGUUAGUCAAGCUUACUACGCGUGCAGGGGGCGCCUGUGUGUUGGGCGAGACGGCGACAACAGGAGGUGUCUUGACCUCCGAAAGAUAAAGUGGUUAUGUACAAGUGCAACGGAGAGGACAACCCGGGCCCUCCUGGCCCUCGACUAUAAAGCUCCGAUGGUCAAGACAGGUCCCGCCCAUCAAUCCAGUUACACACACCUUGCCGCUCCACCUUCUGCCCGGAAGCCCCGAUUAAAAUGUUUUAAAUAAUGAA